CAAAUCUUGUAGGAAAGAAAUUGUGAUAGCUAGAGACUUUAAUUCGCAUCAUGUGUCUUGGGGUUUCAAAACGGACUCAUGUGGAAAGCGUUUGUGGGACUGGGCAAUUAAUCAAAAUUUUUGAUGCUUAAACACGAAGUCAGCUACCUUUAUUCAGGGUCUUACUAAAUUGGCAUUGGAUCUAACAUUUGCCAGUUCAGGAAUUUCCGUAACUUUCUGGUCUUCUGUCGACUCAGCCUCAAAUAAUGACUAUCUAACCAUUAUGUUUGAUAUUGUCUGCCCUGUUAUUCCCCUGGAGUCUCCGACGCGUACUUCCGUCAAUUACCGGAAAUUUCAGAAUGUUUUGAAAACGGUCCUCAACUCCCAGAAAACGGUACCCGAUGACAUCAGAGCCAUGAGGCUUUGCGGUGUAGUAAAAAGUUCCUUUAAAAAGUCUCAAUUUAAUGUUAACAUAUGCAAAAGUACUACCUGUCCUUGAAAUUCGGAUUGCACGCGGGAUUAUAGCCGCGUGGAAGAAAUUACUUUACAAUCAGUGUCCGAGUAACUGGAGUGAUUAUAAAUUCGCAGCUGGUGCGUUCAAGAGAACAGUAUCGAAUGCCAAAUACGAGUAUGACGAAAAACAUGAUGACUUCCUCUCUAAGCCCACCAACAAAAAAGCUCUGUUCAGAUUCUUUCGAUAUAGAAAAUUGAUACCGACGCCAGCGAACACUGAAUCGAUAAUUCUUUCACCACGCGAGUUAUCUGCUUCUUUAGAAUUCAUAGGAAAGGGCUUAGCGCAACGCUUAACAUCACGUUUAACGCUUAACAUGAAGACAAUAUGGAAACCGAAUGGGCCACUAAGGCCUCCCAUCGCCGAUGACAUUGUGGAAGUCACAGUGUCAGAGCUCUCUAAUGUCCUUAGAUCACUGCCUGCCUCAGCUCCAGGUCCUGACGGCAUUUCCAAUUCCACGCUAAAUAUGUUGUUUGAAAUGUCUUCUGAUGACAUUUUGAACACAGUGAAUUAUUCUCUAAAAAAUGCUUGGAUUCCACCAUAAUGGAGGACAGCCAAAAUUAUUCCGUUGCUUAAAAAAACAAGGAGCUGGCUACAACCUUGACAACAUUAGGCCUAUCUCUCUUACGUCAAAUAUGGUAAAACAAAUUGAAAGAAUUUUAUUUGAUCGUAUGAUGGGUAAUAUAUCUGAAAAUUCGUUGCUGAGCCACGUCGAAUAGGUUUCCGGCCCGGUCUCUCCAUUUGGUGUGCGCAUGUCGAUCUGGAAAGCCGCAUCCAACUUGCUCAGCAUAGAAAAGAAGUUACUGCUUUAGUGACUCUUGACAUUGCAAAAGCUUAUGACAGCAUUGAGUACUUUCUGCUGCUGGACAGAUUACAGUCUUACAAUUUUCCGAGAUAUAUAACGGCAUGGAUUUUUAAAUUUCUAAGAAACAGAAGAUUUUAUUGUUUUCAAAACGGCUUUUCUUCAACAAAGUUCAAUCAGACAAGAGGGGUGCCCCAGGGGUCUGUUCUGUCUCCUGUACUGUUUGACCUAUUGAUGAGUUCAGCACCACUGCACCAGGAUGUGAAUCUGUAUGUCUAUGCGGAUGACAUUGCAUUUUUCGCGACAGCUAGAGACAUUAAUUCCCUUCACCUGUCUUUGCAAACGUACCUCUGUACUCUACAGACAUGGCUUCACAAUCUGCAUCUGUCACUAAACGUAAACAAAAGUGCAGUCCUUAUUUUUCCGCUUUCCGGGCCGUUACAGUUGUCAUUAGUAUAUGAACAGAGAACCAUUCCUCAGGUAGAUUCGCUUAAAUACAUGGGUAUUAUAUAUGACGGAAAACUUCACUGGCGUUCUCACAUAGAAAAUAUUGGAACGAAGGGGACACGAGCCGUAGGUUCGCUACAUAGAAUCAGUAACUGACGUUCUGGUAGGCGAAGUGACACACUAAUUAUAAUUUAUCGUAUGUAUGUACGACAGAUUUUAGAAUUUGGCUGCGUUUUGUUCUCCGGAAGUGCAAAAUAUAAAUUAAGAACCCUUGUUUUAUUAGAAAGAGAAGCUCUUUGACUAUAUUUAGGUCUUCCUGAAUUCGUUGCUAAUAAUGUAUUAUACCAAGAAGCGCGCCUACCUGCUCUUCACACGCGAUUCCGCAUGCUUACGGUUCAAACCUACUUAAGAGCUUAUGAAUCUUCGCUACGACGUGGACAAUAUGCAUUUACUAGUGAACGAAAUUCAUUUUUUUUAGAACACAUGGUCACGGUUGCAUACCCCACAAGUUGUAUUUGUGCAAGCACAAUUAGCACCUUUAAAUGUUCACCUUAGAGAAAUAAUUCCGCGUCAUAGGUCUCCGGGGUCGCUCAAGAUUGAAUUUGCAGACAUUUUUCCCCACAAUGCGAAAUUUCUGUUCACAACGUAUUUGAAUGACCGUUUACAAGAUUAUUUGGCCCGUUUCAAAAUAAAUGUAAUAGCGACUGAUGCUUCUUCGUGUGAUAAGAAGGCAGGCGUAGGUAUCAAUUCGCCAUCCCUCGAGUGGUCUUUUUCACUUCGCCUACCAGAUUACACAUCAGUUUUUCAUGCCGAACUUCUGGCAAUAGUUCUUACCUUGCGGAAAUUACCCCUUCAUACUACAAGAGUUAUUAUCGUCACAGAUUCUCUAUCUGUAUGCAGCGCACUUACUGCGUCUACAAAGUCGACGACAUUGAACACGUUUUACUCAUUAGCUCCGCCUCACUUAAGUUUAGUUCAUAUUGUAAGGGUCUCAGGCCACCGAGAUACUGAUAUUAAUGAAAUAGCCGAUUCCUUAGCACGAGCUUCUUUAACAGGUCCUGUGCUAUCUGUGCUGCCGGCAACUGCGCACAUCACUGCAGCCAGAUAUAGGCAAUUUUCUUUGAGCGAAGACAAAAAAGCUCUGUCAUUAGCAAAAUCUACAGAUUUUUUGCACCUAAACUAUUAUUGGAACCGGCAAUGGUGUCCUGACCUGAAAUUUGAAGUUUCUUUUACUAGGCUGCCGUUGCCGUGUUCCAACACUUAAUUUUUACUUGCACAGAUGUGGUCUGGCGGUAUCCCCUCUAUGCUACCUCUGCAAUGAACUGGAAUCUAUAGAUUAUUUUUAUUAGCAUGUCGGCGGUUUUCUGCUCAUCGAAAACUAUGUCUAGAAAUUCCACUUCAAAAUUUAGGAUUGCCUUUAAGCAGCAUUGUUAUAUAGCCACAGGAAUAUUUGCAUAGCCAUUUACAAUUUUCUAUGUGGCACAAAAAGAAUCCCUUGUUAAUAGGCCUUAGCUUCCACAAUUGAUUUACUUCUACUUCAGUUUAGAAAAUUCAAAAAGUAAAAGCACAAAUUCCGUUUAAAUCUUACUAUUAUUAUUCAAAAUUGAACUUACUCAAGUUUCAGUAUAUCCUUUCUUAUUAUUCUUUUAUUAGUAUUCCUAUCAACGCAAGGCUUACUAUAGUAUUGAUUACUACUUUAUCUAAUGUAUUCGCAGUUUAUUUUUCAUCUUGGAUUAUAUAUUUAUUUUCCUUUUUAUGUUACUUAUUUAUUACCCAAUUUCUUUUAUUUAUUCAAUCAUAUUACCACCCGAUUCGUGGCCUAUCCCCCAUAGUAGGUUUGUACCAUUAUUUGAGGCUUCAUCAUCAUCGUCAUCAUCAUCAUCAUCGUCACGCGCGUAAGGCGCGCGUUGCGGUUCGCAAUUGUACGGGUCGGCAAACAAGCUCGGGCCAGCGAGGACCUGGUGGGACGUGUUCGAGUGGCGACCGAGACGGCUACCGGUUCGCCUUGGCGCCUGUUCCUGGAGCACAGCCGAGCCAGCCCACAAACGAGCGGCUAACGGCCCACUCGGGCAAUCGUCCGAGGCUCAUCGGGACUAGGGAACGAUUCCGGCGGCUGACGGUUCGCCCUGGUGGCCGUGCCUGUGGUCCCGCCUGAGAGCCGCCGCCGAAGCGGAACAGCGCUGCAGUUCGCGUGUGCGCCAGCAGUGCUGCCGGCCCUGCUAGACUGGCAGGAGCCAGGAGAGCUCACCGCCAACGAGCCUGUCACGCUCCUCAAGCCCAGAGCGGUGAGCGUCUUAUUCCUCCUCUCCCGGUGCCGAGGCACGGCAGCUCCACAAGACGCCACGGGCACCGUCAUUCGGAGCACCGUGAGGACAUCGCCGGGCUACUGCGCGUGGGUUAGUCGCCUGUCGGGUUCUUGUUGCGUUGUGGGCUACACUUCGGGCCAUUGUGCCAUGUGCAAGAACAAGCUUUACGGCACAACGUACUUUAGUAGUGUGAUGACUGGAGACGAGUCUAUUGGAGGGACAUAGUGGACGAAGUGUGCUUGACGGCAUCCGCCGGCAUGGCAGGCGCGGAGAGCGCGCGGCGAGAACCCGGUGGGACGUGUUCCAAUGGCGCCUAAUAGGUGCCUCUUCGUGGAGCACAGCCGGACCAGCCCACAAACGAGCGGCUAACGGCCCACUCGGGCAAUCGUCCGAGGCUCAUCGGGACUAGGGAACGACUCCGGCGGCUGACGGUUCGCCCUGGUGGCCGUGCAUCUGGCCCCGCCUGAGAGCCGCUGCUGAAGCGGAACAGCGCUGCAGUUAGCGUGGACGCCAGAAGUGAUGCCAGGCCUGCUACGCUGGCAGGAGCCAGGGGAGCUGACCGCCAACGGACCUGUCACGCUCCUCGAGCCCAGAGCUGUGAGCGACCUCUUCCCUCCUCCCCGGGUGCCAGGGCGCGGCAGCUCCGCCAGACGCCACAGCCGCGGUCAAUCGGAAUACCGUGAGGACAUCGCCAGGGUACUGCGCGUGGGUUAGUCGCCUGUCAGGAAUCAAACGAGUGAGUUGGGCACUAAUAACAACGCCACCAAAGAAAUCAGAACCCCCGGCUUUCCAGUGCAACUAUAGAGUGGAGCACGGCAUCGGUUAUCCGUCAAGCCAUAGCUCUGUUAUUGCUUCCUGUGCUGACUGAAUCAAGGCCGUGCGCAUCACCGCUGCGUGCACAACCAUCCCGCGGAUCUGCCCAGCUUUCGUCAUGUGCGUCUUGGCUGGACACUAUUCAAGCUCCAACGUGGCAAACUAUGCCACCUUUUCAUCACUUGGUCCUCAGUAGAGCUUGGAAAGUCCCUACGGGUACAACAGUCGCUCCUCCUGCUAUAAAGCGACCGCUCCUGUCGGCAUCGCUCUGUGGGCACGGUCGCCGUUCAGCAGGCGUGACCACUAAUCCACUGCUCUUCGUCAUGCAGGGUUCUGGACCUGGUGCUGGAGCGGUCGACCAGCCCCAGCACGGGUGCGUCCUCGGAGACGCAACUAGAGAAGGCGCUGCACUUGAUCGGGGUCGCGGUUCACGAGGAACAGCGGCUGUGGGACAAGGGGGUGCCCAUGGCCGGUUCCUUCUUCGCCUUCAUCUGCCGGGCCACGCCAUCGAAAAGUCAGUGCUGGGCACGUUCGGUGCCCAGCACAACUGUGGUGAUUUUACGGCCACGAGCUGUCUUUCUAGAGAAACACUCAGCUAUGUUCCUACGCUGUGAUUGCGCUGUGAGCCUGCGUGCUGGUUGCUCUACUGUGAUUGAGUCAAGCAGUGAUUCCUUCGAUGCUGACUACUCGCCAUGUGCCGAAUUGGAACAUAGCUAUUUCAGUGAACGCACUAUUUCACACUACGAAUUACGAGGCCAGGACCGUUUAAAAAUCGUUCUAUAUCGAGU